rnacentral:rRNA from 1 species
UACGGAGGAUGCAAGCGUUAUCCGGAUUUAUUGGGUUUAAAGGGUGCGCAGGUUGUUUGAUAAGUCAGUGGUGAAAGUCUGUCGCUUAACGGUAGGAUUGCCAUUGAUACUGUUAGACUUGAAUAUGGAUGAGGUAGGCGGAAUGUGUAGUGUAGCGGUGAAAUGCAUAGAUAUUACACAGAACACCGAUUGCGAAGGCAGCUUACUAAUCCAUCAUUGACGCUGAGGCGCGAAAGCGUGGGGAGCAAACA